rnacentral:rRNA from 1 species
AUACGGAGGGUGCGAGCGUUAAUCGGAAUUACUGGGCGUAAAGCGCGCGUAGGCGGUUUGUUAAGUCGGAUGUGAAAUCCCCGGGCUCAACCUGGGACCUGCAUCCGAUACUGGCAGGCUCGAGUCCGGUAGAGGGGGGUAGAAUUCCUGGUGUAGCGGUGAAAUGCGUAGAUAUCAGGAGGAAUACCAGUGGCGAAGGCGGCCCCCUGGACUGAGACUGACGCUGAGGUGCGAAAGCGUGGGGAGCAAACAGGAUUAGAAACCCUAGUAGUCC